rnacentral:rRNA from 1 species
CAAAAACAUGUCCUUUUGAGUUUAAUUAAAGGUCUGACCUGCCCAGUGAUGAUUUUAACGGCCGCGGUAUACUGACCGUGCAAAGGUAGCAUAAUCAUUAGUCUUUUAAUAGAGGGCUGGAAUGAAAGGUUUAACGAGGAACUGACUGUCUCAUUUUAUUUGUUUUAGAAUUUAAUUUUUUAGUUAAAAAGCUAAAAUUUUAUUGGAAGACGAGAAGACCCUAUAGAUCUUUAUAUAACUUAAUAUAAUUAUUUAUAUAUUAUUAUAUUUAUAUUAAUUUGUAUUUUGNUGGGGUGACAAGAAUAAAAAUUAACUUUUUUAUUUAUUUUACAUUGAUUUAUGAAUACUAGAUCCAUUAUUAUUGAUUAUUAGAUUAAGUUACCUUAGGGAUAACAGCGUAAUCCUUCUCCAGAGUUCAUAUUUACAGAAGGGCUUGCGACCUCCAUGUUGGAUUAAGAUAAUAAUUAGGUGUAGCCGCUUAAUUUAUAGGUCUGUUCGACUUUAAAUUCUUACAUGAUCUGAG